AUGGCAAUUCUGCUGAAAACAACGUCAGUCCGGGUUAGUUCCAUUCAAAUCAUGCAAAUUAGAGUCCAAAACAGGGGCAAAAGAGUUUGGAAAAGUAGAUACGAUAGAGACGUAUCAACUCCCCCAAGCUUAACCAAUUGCUUGUCCUCAAGCAAUUCAGUUGACAAACUGAAAGUGAUAAAGAAAAACUUUUACAAACUCUGUUUGAUCUUGUUGUUGCAAAUAUGUAAAGCCGACAUUAAGGUUUUCAGCAAAGAUUAUGAACUAACCAUUGAUAUGUCCAUUUUGCAUCAUGUUUUCUUACUGUUAUUUAUAAUGUUUUUAUCCAUAAUAAUGCUUUUUGGAGUAAUUCUAAUGCCUUUUCUCUCAUUAUUUGCAAGGUACACACCAAGAGGGAGAAUUCCGGCAGCUGGAAAUCUGGACCUGAAAAAGCUACGUCAGGCCACCUAUUCUGCACAACUCCAAAUGAGCUGA
rnacentral:rRNA from 1 species